CCUACGGGCGGCAGCAGUGGGGAAUAUUGGACAAUGGGCGAAAGCCUGAUCCAGCCAUGCCGCGUGUGUGAAGAAGGCCUUCGGGUUGUAAAGCACUUUCAGUGGGGAAGAAAGCCUUGGGGCUAAUACCCUCGAGGAAGGACAUCACCCACAGAAGAAGCACCGGCUAACUCCGUGCCAGCAGCCGCGGUAAUACGGAGGGUGCGAGCGUUAAUCGGAAUUACUGGGCGUAAAGCGCGCGUAGGCGGUCUGAUAAGCCGGUUGUGAAAGCCCCGGGCUCAACCUGGGAACGGCAUCCGGGACUGUCAGGCUAGAGUGCAGGAGAGGAAAGUAGAAUUCCCGGUGUAGCGGUGAAAUGCGUAGAGAUCGGGAGGAAUACCAGUGGCGAAGGCGGCCUUCUGGACUGACACUGACGCUGAGGUGCGAAAGCGUGGGUAGCAAACAGGAUUAGAUACCCUAGUAGUC
rnacentral:rRNA from 1 species